AGAAAACUGAAAUAUUUGAAUAUAAAACUUUGUUUUCAGGUUUUUUUAGAAAAUUUGUCCAAAAAUUAUUGCAUACAGUUUUCCAUAAAUAAACAGACUCUUAAUGUGUCAUGUCAAUUUCAAAAUUAUAGAACAUAUUAUUGAGCUAAAUUAUGUAUUUGUCCAUAAAAUUAUGAAUGAUAAUAAAUAUUUUUAGGUGAUUUGAUUCGAUCUUAGGCAACAAAACAUUAAAAAAAUAAAAAAUAAAAUCCAACAAGUGGUAACACCCACUAAAGUCAUUUGGAGGCAUCAAACUCAUGAGGUAGUCUUGCUUAGGCAAUGAAAGUAUAAAGGCGCCGAUAGGUAUACAAAUUAAAGCUCCAAUUAGUUAGUGUGUUCCUUAAUUAAUUAUUAUUUUUGCUAAAACAGUAACUCGAUUAUGGCAAUUGAAAGCCACUGGUAUUGCACUAAAAAGUAAAAACA
rnacentral:misc_RNA from 1 species